rnacentral:rRNA from 1 species
AUUGAACGCUGGCGGCAGGCUUAACACAUGCAAGUCGAACGGUAGCAGGAGAAAGCUUGCUUUCUUGCUGACGAGUGGCGGACGGGUGAGUAAUGCUUGGGAAUCUGGCUUAUGGAGGGGGAUAACUACGGGAAACUGUAGCUAAUACCGCGUAGAAUCGGAAGAUGAAAGUGCGGGACCGCGAGGCCGCAUGCCAUGAGAUGAGCCCAAGUGGGAUUAGGUAGUUGGUGGGGUAAAGGCCUACCAAGCCUGCGAUCUCUAGCUGGUCUGAGAGGAUGGCCAGCCACACUGGAACUGAGACACGGUCCAGACUCCUACGGGAGGCAGCAGUGGGGAAUAUUGCGCAAUGGGGGGAACCCUGACGCAGCCAUGCCGCGUGAAUGAAGAAGGCCUUCGGGUUGUAAAGUUCUUUCGGUAUUGAGGAAGGGAUGUGUGCUAAUAGU